AUUGAACGCUGGCGGCAGGCCUAACACAUGCAAGUCGAGCGGCUGAAGGGAGCUUGCUCCUGGAUUCAGCGGCGGACGGGUGAGUAAUGCCUAGGAAUCUGCCUGGUAGUGGGGGAUAACGUCCGGAAACGGGCGCUAAUACCGCAUACGUCCUUAGGGAGAAAGUGGGGGUUCUUCGGACCUCACGCUAUCAGAUGAGCCUAGGUCGGAUUAGCUAGUUGGUGGGGUAAAGGCCUACCAAGGCGACGAUCCGUAACUGGUGUGAGAGGAUGAUCAGUCACACUGGAACUGAGACACGGUCCAGACUCCUACGGGAGGCAGCAGUGGGGAAUAUUGGACAAUGGGCGAAAGCCUGAUCCAGCAAUGCCGCGUGUGUGAAGAAGGUCUUCGGAUUGUAAAGCACUUUAAGUUGGGAGGAAGGGAAGUAAGUUAAAACCUUGAUGUAUUGACGUUACCAACAGAAUAAGCACCGGCUAACUUCGUG
rnacentral:rRNA from 1 species